rnacentral:rRNA from 1 species
UGGGGAAUAUUGGACAAUGGGCGCAAGCCUGAUCCAGCCAUGCCGCGCGAGUGAUGAAGGCCCUAGGGUUGUAAAGCUCUUUCACCGGUGAAGAUAAUGACGGUAACCGGAGAAGAAGCCUCGGCUAACUUCGUGCCAGCAGCCGCGGUAAUACGAAGGGGGCUAGCGUUGUUCGGAUUUACUGGGCGUAAAGCGCACGUAGGCGGACUAUUAAGUCAGGGGUGAAAUCCCGGGGCUCAACCCCGGAACUGCCUUUGAUACUGGUAGUCUUGAGUUCGAGAGAGGUGAGUGGAAUUCCGAGUGUAGAGGUGAAAUUCGUAGAUAUUCGGGGGAACACCAGUGGCGAAGGCUGCUCACUGGCUCGAUACUGACGCUGAGGUGCGAAAGCGUGGGGAGCAAACAGG